CCUACGGGAGGCAGCAGUGAGGAAUAUUGGUCAAUGGGCGCGAGCCUGAACCAGCCAAGUAGCGUGAAGGAUGACUGCUCUACGGGUUGUAACCUUCUUUUAUAAAGGAAUAAAGUGAGGCACGUGUGCCUUUUUGUAUGUACUUUAUGAAUAAGGAUCGGCUAACUCCGUGCCAGCAACCGCGGUAAUACGGAGGAUCCGAGCGUUAUCCGGAUUUAUGGGGUUUAAAGGGAGCGUAGGUGGGUUGUUAAGUCAGUAGUGAAAGUUUGCGGCUCAACCGUAAAAUUGCAAUUGAUACUGGCAGUCUUGAGUACAGUUGAGGUAGGCGGAAUUCGUGGUGUAGCGGUGAAAUGCUUAGAUAUCACGAGGAACUCCAAUUGCGAAGGCAGCCUACUAAACUGCCACUGACGUUGAUGCUCGAAAGUGUGGGUAUCAAACAGGAUUAGAUACCCUGGUAGUC
rnacentral:rRNA from 1 species